rnacentral:rRNA from 1 species
UUUUUGUUUGGAGAGUUUGAUCCUGGCUCAGGACGAACGCUGACGGCGUGCUUAACACAUGCAAGUCGAACGGGAUCCAUUAGCGCUUUUGUGUUUUUGGUGAGAGUGGCGAACGGGUGAGUAACACGUGAGUAACCUGCCCUUUUCUUUGGGAUAAGCCUGGGAAACUGGGUCUAAUACUGGAUGUUCCGGCUUCCUCGCAUGGGGUUGUUGGGAAAGGUUUUUUCUGGAUUGGGAUGGGCUCGCGGCUUAUCAGCUUGUUGGUGGGGUGAUGGCUUACCAAGGCUUUGACGGGUAGCCGGCCUGAGAGGGUGGUCGGUCACACUGGGACUGAGAUACGGCCCAGACUCCUACGGGAGGCAGCAGUGGGGGAUAUUGCACAAUGGACGGAAGUCUGAUGCAGCGACGUCGUGUGGGGGAUGAAGGCCUUCGGGUUGUAAACUCCUUUCGCCCGCGGAAAAGGCAGGGUUUUGGCCUUGUUGAUGGUAGUGGGUAAAGAAGCGCCGGCUAACUACGUGCCAGCAGCCGCGGUAAUACGUAGGGCGCGAGCGUUGUCCGGAAUUAUUGGGCGUAAAGGGCUCGUAGGCGGUUUGUCGCGUCUAGCGUUUAAGGCUCGGGCUUAACCCGGGUUUGCGUUGGGUACGGGCAGGCUUGAGUGCGGUAGGGGUAACUGGAAUUCCUGGUGUAGCGGUGGAAUGCGCAGAUAUCAGGAGGAACACCGGUGGCGAAGGCGGGUUACUGGGCCGUUACUGACGCUGAGGAGCGAGAGCGUGGGGAGCGAACAGGAUUAGAUACCCUGGUAGUCCAUGCUGUAAACGUUGGGCACUAGGUGUGGGGGCUGGUUUCAUGGUUUCCGCGCCGUAGCUAACGCAUUAAGUGCCCCGCCUGGGGAGUACGGCCGCAAGGCUAAAACUCAAAGGAAUUGACGGGGGCCCGCACAAGCGGCGGAGCAUGCGGAUUAAUUCGAUGCAACGCGAAGAACCUUACCAAGGCUUGACAUGCACCGCGAGACUGCAGAGAUGUGGUUGCCUUCGGGGUGGUGUGCAGGUGGUGCAUGGUUGUCGUCAGCUCGUGUCGUGAGAUGUUGGGUUAAGUCCCGCAACGAGCGCAACCCUUGUCUCAUGUUGCCAGCACGUUAUGGUGGGGACUCGUGAGAGACUGCCGGGGUUAACUCGGAGGAAGGUGGGGAUGACGUCAAAUCAUCAUGCCCCUUAUGUCUUGGGCUUCACGCAUGCUACAUUGGUGUCUACAGAGGGUUGCUAUUCCGUGAGGUUGAGCGAAUCUCUUAAAGGGCAUCUUGGUUCGGAUCGCAGUCUGCAACUCGACUGCGUGAAGGUGGAGUCGCUAGUAAUCGCAGAUCAGCAUUGCUGCGGUGAAUACGUUCUCGGGCCUUGUACACACCGCCCGUCACGUCACGAAAGUUGGUAACACCCGAAGCCUGUGGCCUAACCUUUUUGGGGGGAGUGGUCGAAGGUGGGGCUAGCGAUUGGGACGAAGUCGUAACAAGGUAGCCGUACCGGAAGGUGCGGCUGGAUCACCUCCUUUCUAAGGAG